CCUACGGGAGGCAGCAGUAAGGAAUAUUGGACAAUGGUCGCAAGACUGAUCCAGCCAUGCCGCGUGCAGGAUGACAGCCCUAUGGGUCGUAAACUGCUUUUGUGCGAGAAAAAACCCCUCUACGUGUAGAGGGCUGAUUGUAUCGUAAGAAUAAGGAUCGGCUAACUCCGUGCCAGCAGCCGCGGUAAUACGGAGGAUCCAAGCGUUAUCCGGAUUCAUUGGGUUUAAAGGGUGCGUAGGCGGAAUGAUAAGUCAGUGGUGAAAGCCUGCAGCUUAACUGCAGAACUGCCAUUGAUACUGUCAAUCUUGAGUACAUUUGAUGUGGGCGGAAUGUGUCAUGUAGCGGUGAAAUGCUUAGAUAUGACACAGAACACCGAUUGCGAAGGCAGCUCACAAAACUGUAACUGACGCUGAGGCACGAAAGCGUGGGUAUCAAACAGGAUUAGAUACCCUGGUAGUCCACGCUGUAAACCUAUGAUUACUCGAUGUUUGCGAUACACUGUAAGCGUCUAAGCGAAAGCGAUAAGUAAUCCACCUGGGAGUACGCGCGCGAGAGAGAACGACGAAGAGUUAGUUAGGACGGCGUAGGAGAGACGACGGACGACGAACGGACCGGAAGGGAAGGUAAG
rnacentral:rRNA from 1 species